AAUCCCGUGAACCAUCGAGUCUUUGAACGCAAGUUGCGCCCCAAGCCGUCAGGCCGAGGGCACGUCUGCCUGGGUGUCACG
rnacentral:rRNA from 1 species